GACGAACGCUGGCGGCGUGCCUAAUACAUGCAAGUCGAACGCAUUUUCUUUCACCGUAGCUUGCUACACCGAAAGAAAAUGAGUGGCGAACGGGUGAGUAACACGUGGGUAACCUGCCCAUCAGCGGGGGAUAACACUUGGAAACAGGUGCUAAUACCGCAUAAUUCCAUUUACCGCAUGGUAAAUGGAUGAAAGGCGCUUUUGCGUCACUGAUGGAUGGACCCGCGGUGCAUUAGCUAGUUGGUGGGGUAACGGCCUACCAAGGCUGCGAUGCAUAGCCGACCUGAGAGGGUGAUCGGCCACACUGGGACUGAGACACGGCCCAGACUCCUACGGGAGGCAGCAGUAGGGAAUCUUCGGCAAUGGACGCAAGUCUGACCGAGCAACGCCGCGUGAGUGAAGAAGGUUUUCGGAUUGUAAAACUCUGUUGUUAGAGAAGAACAAGGAUGAGGGUGGAAAGUUCAUCCCUUGACGGUAUCUAACCAGAAAGCCACGGCUAACUACGUG
rnacentral:rRNA from 1 species